rnacentral:rRNA from 1 species
CACGUAGGCGGAUUGUUAAGUUAGGGGUGAAAUCCCAGGGCUCAACCCUGGAACUGCCUCUAAUACUGGCAAUCUCGAGUUCGAGAGAGGUGAGUGGAAUUCCGAGUGUAGAGGUGAAAUUCGUAGAUAUUCGGAGGAACACCAGUGGCGAAGGCGGCUCACUGGCUCGAUACUGACGCUGAGGUGCGAAAGCGUGGGGAGCAAACA